rnacentral:lncRNA from 1 species
GCGCGCGUCUCCGCUCGUCGCCCGGCUCGGCGUCGGGAGUGCACUCUGUGUGGCCGCUGCUGCAGUGUUGUUGUGGUUGUGAGAAGGCGGCGGCGGCGGCGGAGUAGCAGCCGGACCAGACGCCCUAGUAGCUCAGUCGCUGCCCUGCGCCGGGCCUGGCAGGGAGCCUGGUGAGAUGGUGGAGGAGGAGGCUGUGCCGUGGCGGGCCUUGCCAUGUCCUGCUGCCUGAGGAGAAAAAGCCCAGGCAUAAAAUCAUCUCCAUAUUCUCAGGCACAGAGAAAGGAAGUAAAAAGAAAGAAAAGGAACGGCCAGAAAUUUCUCCUCCAUCUGAUUUUGAACACACCAUCCAUGUUGGCUUUGAUGCUGUUACUGGAGAAUUCACUGGCAUGCCAGAACACUGGGCUCGAUUACUACAGACCUCAAAUAUCACCAAACUAGAGCAAAAGAAGAAUCCUCAGGCUGUGCUGGAUGUCUACGACUCCAACACAGUGAAGCAGAAGUAUCUGAGUUUUACUCCUCCUGAGAAAGAUGGCUUCCCUUCUGGAACACCAGCACUGAAUGCCGAGGGAACAGAAGCACCUGCAGUAGUGACAGAGGAGGAGGACGAUGAUGAAGAGACUGCCCCUCCCAUUAUUGCCCCACCACCGGAUCAUAUGAAAUCAAUUUACACACGGUCUGUAAUUGACCCUGUUCCUGCACCAGUUGGUGAUUCAAAUGUUGAUGGUGGUGCCAAGUCUUUAGACAAACAGAAAAAGAAGACUAAGAUGACAGAUGAAGAGAUUAUGGAGAAACUAAGAACUAUUGUGAGCAUAGGUGACCCUAAGAAAAAAAUAUACAAGAUAUGAAAAAAUUGGACAAGGGGCUUCUGGUACAGUUUUCACUGCUACUGACGUUGCACUGGGACAGAAGGUUGCUAUCAAACAAAUUAAUUUACAGAAACAGCCAAAGAAGGAAUUGAUCAUUAAUGAGAUUCUGGUAAUGAAAGAAUUAAAAAAUCCCAACAUAGUUAACUUCUUGGACAGUUACCUGGUAGGAGAUGAAUUGUUUGUGGUCGUGGAAUACCUUGCUAGGGGGUCACUCACUGAUGUGGUAACAGAAACCUGCAUGGAUGAAGCACAGAUUGCCGCUGUAUGCAGAGAGAGUUUACAGGCAUUGGAGUUUUUACAUGCUAAUCAAGUGAUCCACAGAGACAUCAAAAGUGACAGUGUACUUUUGGGAAUGGAAGGAUCGGUUAAGCUCACUGACUUUGGUUUCUGUGCCCAGAUCACCCCUGAGCAGAGCAAACGCAGUACCGUGGUCAGAACGCCAUACUGGAUGGCACCAGAAGUGGUUACACGGAAGGCUUAUGGCCCUAAAGUCAAUGUAUGGUCUCUGGGUAUCAUGGCUACUGAGAUGGUAGAAGGAGAGCCUCCAUACCUCAAUGAAAAUCCCUUGAGGGCCUUGUGCCUAAUAGCAACUAAUGGAAUCCCAGAACUUCAGAAUCCAGAGACACUUUCCCCAAUAUUUCGGGAUUUCUUAAAUCGAUGUUUGGAAACAGAUGUGGAAAAAAGGGGUUCAGCCAAAGAAUUAUUACAGCAUCUUUUCCUGAAACUAGCCAAACUGUUAUCUAGCUUGACACCACUGAUCAUGGCAGCUAAAGAAGCAAUGAAGAGUAACCGUUAACAUCACUGCUGUGGCCUCAUAUUCUUUUUUCCAUUUUCUACAAGAAGCCUUUUAGUAUAUGAAAAUUAUUACUCUUUUGGGGGUUUAAAGAAAUGGUCUGCAUAACCUGAAUGAAAGAAGCAAAUGACUAUUCUCUGAAGACAACCAAGAGAAAAUUGCAAAAAGAAAAGUAUGACUUUUAUAUGAACCCCUUCUUUAGGGUCCAAAAGGAAUUGUGGACUGAAUCACUAGCCUUAGGUCUUUCAGCAAACCGCCUAUCAGGGCCAUUUAUCAUAUGUGAGAUUUGCAUUUUACUUUGCUGACUUUGUUGUAAUAGAUCCCAUUCAUUGUCCCCUUUGGGGUAUUUCCAAUACUUGAAUGGCAGAUUGGAGUUUUUCAGAGUAUUUGUUUCAUCUGCUAGUCUUUCUCUCCUUCAUAGCUUUCCUUUUCCUGGACUUGCUCCUUUUGAGUUGCUUUUGAGUUUCUCAUGCCUAGGUAAGUGUAAUAGAAAUUAUGUAGCUCCUUAUGUUGGCAAAGGAGCUCUAUAUAGUUUCACUUUUUAUAAAAGUUAGGACCAGCUGUUGUUACAUGUAAUAUUUUAGUUCAGAACUUGACCUGAAGGAAGGGAAGAAAAGUAUUUGAUUUUUACCUUUUUUAACAAAUGUGAAAAAGUCAGUUUUAGAAAUUUUGUGGUAGUAAGUUUGGCAUUUGUUACAUGUAUAGAGAGAAGACUAAUAAUCUCUAUUUAUAACUAAAUCAUUGAGAUAGAAAAAGAUUCCCAUUGACCGUGUAUUUCUUCCCAUUUCGUCUUCCCUUCUGCCUGUUUCCCCUUCAGGCUUGGCUCUAGGAACCAAAGUGAUUUGUUCUUGUUCCAACCUGGGCUUUGUGACUUUGGUUAGUGCCACUACCUUCUUCCCUCCUUUCCCCCUUCAAUUUGGAAAUAAAUUUCUGUAUAUGUUGCAAUUUUAGGUUUAUUUUUGUUCUUUUUGUUUUUCAUUAAUCCUCUCUCACCUCACAGAUACCCCCCUCCCAUGGCAAAUAAUAUAAUAACCAGUGAAUUUUCGGGAAUUUAAAAUUAGCUUUUUUCCACUUAAAGGAGAACAAUAUUUGGGACUAGCAGGCGCAGAGUGAGAGACGUGAACCUUGGUGAUCUCUGAUAUAGUGAGAAGAGAUUAUACUCAUGAAAGAGAAUGUUAGUGUUACAGAGAAGCAGCCGAUAGGAAAUCAACUGUAGAGACUUGGAGGCGGCGGCAUUGCUCCAGGUCAUCAUCAGUGUGGUAUUAUCUAUGAGAACUUGAGCGACAGAGUAUUUCUUGAUGAAUUUAUAGAUCAUUUGAGAUGUUGAGUUACUUUUGUUUUGUUUUCAAAUAGGUAGAGACUAUUAAUGUAAAAAAACAAGAAAGGAAAAUGAAAUGUGCGUGUUGAGAGCAAUAAUUUGUUUCUUUUAAAGAUUCUGAAAGAUCUGAGACCUGUAGCAUUAAUUAUUUGAGUGCCCUCCCUUCUCCCCUCCCCUCCCUUUCUCUUCUCUUCUUUCAUCUCCUCUCCUUCUCCUUUAUUCAUUGUUUUGCUUUGGAAUAGGUUGUUCAAGUAUUUGGUUUGGUUCUGGCAUUUUGUUCCCACCAUCCCCUUCCCCCAUUAACUUCCCCCCUGCUUGCCAUCCUGCAGUAGUAUAAAUCAUGAAUAAAAAAUAAUUUUGCUGUUGUAGUAUACAUUGGGGAAACUAGCAGGGUUUUAUUUCCAUUAUUUUAUUCCCACUAUAUCUAUGAUAAGAUACAAUUAUAAGGAGAGAAGUGACUGUUUUUUAUUGAUAAGGCAAGAUUUUCAGAAAAAUGAGUAAAAUAAUUAAUGAAACAUAUUUAGAGCACUUAGUGGUCUCUGUUUUCAAUAUAAUUCUUGAUUUCAUUUUUCUCUGGAAUAUAUUGGCCUUCUACAGCUAUUACUGAAUUACAGAAACUGGUUUAUUUCUGUCAGAAAGCUGCAGUGCCACCUGAGUUCCAAAUUUUAACAUUCUUUGUAAACGGAUGGAUUAUGAUAAAGAAGAUGCUACCAAUGAAAUAGAAAACCAACGAGAUGAGAAGACUGUGAUCCUCAUGCACUCAGAGGCACUUCCCUUCUAAGUCAAAGACCAUUCUCACUGACUAUGUGCCAAGGCCUCACUUCAGGCUUGUGACUCAACAAAGGGCUUUUCCAUUGAUAGAAGCAGUUUGGGAUUUGUAGCUACAACUUCUUCGAUAGUUACCUGCAUGUCCAUUGCUGGCAGCUGACUUCAGUCAUUAAAACCUGGCUCUUUGGUUAAGGGAGCUACACUGUGGUUUAUUCUUAAGUUACAUGGAUAAACUAACCUCUAGCAGAAAUAUAGUUUGGUUAAUUUUGAGAUGUGUCAUUUUUAAACAAAAUCUUAAAAGCAAUACAGAAUUGUGAUUUAUUAAUUUUAAAUUAAAACAUUGAGAACUUGUUGAAAGAAAAAUUAUAUCUGAAUCAAGAUUCAUGUUUUUUAUUUUUUUUUAUUUAUUUAUUUUUUUUGAUACAGAGUCUCACUCUGUCACUUAGGCUGGAGCGCAGUGGCAUGAUCUCAGCUCACUGCAACCUCCGCUUCCUGGGUUCAAGCAAUUCUCAUGCCUCAGCCUCCUGAGUAGCUGAGACCACAGGUGCGUGCCACCACACCCAGCUAAUUUUUUGUAUUUUUAGUAGAGACAGAGUCUCACCAUGUUGCCCAGGCUUGUCUCCAACUCCUGAGCUCAGGCAAUCUGCCCACCUUGGCCUCCCAAAGUGCUACAAUUACAGGCACGAGCCACUACACCUGGCCUCAUGUUUUUUAAAUAAUUGCCUUUUAUAUUUACCCUUUUUGUCAUCACUUUAGAAUGAAAAUUCCCAUUUAAAUCUAAAAGUUACUUUAAUAGUCCUCUUGUGUUAUUAGGACAGUGUUACUAUAGUACUUAUUUAUUAUAUUUUAGACUUUUUCUUUUUUCUUCUGCUGCUUUUAGGGACAGUUAAAACUGGGAAACUAUGAAACAUGGAACAUUUUAUCCUACCUAGAAUAGUAAAUGAGUAAUUGUGAAGCGUAAGACACCGAGGCUAAUACAACUCUGUCUUCAUGUGUCGAGUGCCUGGCACAUAGUACUAAUUCUCUUCCCUUUAACAUAUAAAUGUUAAGCUGCUUAGAGUCUAGUAACCACCAACUGUAAACGAGCCUGUGCCUUUAACAAGAAAUUUUAAACUACCUAUGAGUAUUUCUUUAUAGGGCUCACUUAAAUACGUUUGUAUAUACUGUAUUCUAGCCAGAAUAAUUUUAGAUCUGAUCAGGUAGUAGCUAA